GCUGCAGGUCUGGGUUGGUGAAGAAGCUGUCUUGAAAACAGUUGAGGUUGAAAACCUUUGCAGGUUCGAGUCCUGUCUGCAGCGCCA
rnacentral:tRNA from 2 species